rnacentral:piRNA from 1 species
UCCACACCGGCGAGAAGCCCUACGUCUGUC